CAGCAGCCGCGGGAAUACGAAGGGUGCAAGCGUUAAUCGGAAUUACUGGGCGUAAAGCGUGCGUAGGCGGUGAGUUAAGUCUGCUGUGAAAUCCCCGGGCUCAACCUGGGAAUGGCAGUGGAUACUGGCUCGCUAGAGUGUGUCAGAGGAUGGUGGAAUUCCCGGUGUAGCGGUGAAAUGCGUAGAGAUCGGGAGGAACAUCAGUGGCGAAGGCGGCCAUCUGGGACAACACUGACGCUGAGGCACGAAAGUGUGGGGAGCAAACAGGAUUAGAUACCCCAGUAGUCCCUGUCUCUUAUAC
rnacentral:rRNA from 1 species